ACGUAGGUGGCGAGCGUUAUCCGGAUUUAUUGGGUUUAAAGGGUGCGUAGGCGGCUUUAUAAGUCGGUGGUUAAAGGUAGCAGCUCAACUGUUUUACAUGCCAUCGAUACUGUAGAGCUUGAGUGAUUAGAAGGCGGGCGGAAUUUCUGGUGUAGCGGUGAAAUGCAUAGAUACCAGGAGGAACACCAAUUGCGAAGGCAGCUCGCUGCAAAUCAACUGACGCUGAUGCACGAAAGCGUGGGGAUCAAACAGGAUUAGAUACCCUGGUAGUCCACGCCGUAAACGAUGAUUACUAGUUGUUGGCGAUAUUACAGUCAGUGACUAAGGGAAACCGAUAAGUAAUCCACCUGGGGAGUACGCCGGCAACGGUG
rnacentral:rRNA from 1 species